CACGUAAAAUAUAAAAUAGAAACUGCAAACCCUUUUCUUUUACAAAUCCUACUUUUAAAUUUCUGUAACUGGACUCUAAUGUACAUAACCACUUGCUAGCACCUCCAAUUUCCCCUUCAGUUUCCAACUAUGGCCCUUAUCUCCGAUGAAGCUUCCUCCCUCACAGUCUCAAUUUCAUUCUAGAAGACAACGUGGAUAUAUUCAUCAAAAUUCGCAACUUCAUUCUGCCCAUUAAAUAGUUUUGGGAGAAAUCGACAACCAUAAUUGCCAUUUUUAAGAACAAUUUACAGGUAAUUCUUAAUUUUCAAGCCCUUAUGUAUUCCUAAUGUAUAAAGAAACUGAUAUUUGUGGCUUUAUCAUCAAAUUUGGAUAAUUUAAUCAAUUUUCUAGUUUCUUGGAUUGGUAAUUUUGCUUCAUUAGUGGUAGUCGAUUGGGUGGAGAAAAAAAAUGAGACGAGAAAAUUUCACUGCGUUUUCAUACAAAUAUUACUAAUGAAUGAUAGAUUAUAUUAGUUGAUACUGAACAUAAAAUUUCACUGUUUAUGGGUUGUUGUUGCUCGUGUUUUCCUCCCUUCUUUGUUGAUGCUACACUGUUGUUGUGUUGCUGAUGCCGUUGUUGUUCGUUGCUGAUGUUGUUGUGGCGUCAUUAGCACCGUCGUGUGCAGGUGGUGCUGUUUAUCGUUGUUUCUUGAGGUGGUGUGCACCUUUUCUCUAACCUUCCAGUCAGUUUUAGAUUGUUUAAUAUUGAUUGAAUUUAUGAUUAAUUGAAUGAUGUUGUGGUGGUGUUGUUCUUGUGGCUUUGUUGGUGUUGCUUUUCUUGUCCAAGCUCUAGUUAAUUGUCUUAGGCAUUUUCUGCCUAAUUUGUGAAAGCCUGAGACAUGUGAAAACCCAAUUGCUUUUAACCUGUACCAGUGGCAGGUUCCUCAUCAUCCUACCAUGGAUGAAAAUCUAGUUGUUCUAGUUGUUGGCCACUGUGGAAAUCAAAUUGAUGCCCGUGGCAUUCUUUCAAUUGUUCACACCUACUUGGGGAAGAAGCUUAACUAUUUGGGAUUAACCCAUUUUAUUGUCGAGGUCAUUGCAUUGCCAUUUGUAGAUUCAACCCAGAAGUGUCUCCAUCUAAUAGUAGAUGCAGGAUGUGCAUUUAUACCCUCAGACACCUGAAGCUGCUGCCAUCUUUCAGAGAUAAUUUUCUGAUGUGUAUUGGUACUCUGUUGAUGAUGAAAACAACUUACUGAGAGGGCACACAUUAAAGAGCAAUUGCACGAGCAAGCUAGCUGAUGAAUUUUGCUUCAGCUCGAGGGAUUUGUGGUCAAUUAUAUUUCUUCAGACUCGGGAAAGAUCAUUGCAACUGCUGCUAGGAAAGCUAAUGAGGAGAAAAUUGAUGAACUCAAGGAGUUGUGGAUUACAUAUGUCGGAGAUCAACACACAAAGCACAAAGGAUGAAUAAGUUAUAACUUUCCGCCCAAUUUUUUAACUUAAUCCACUUUUGGACAUACAUUAUAUUUUUGGAUUUGGAUAUUGAUAUCAUAGAUGUGGCUAUAGGAUAAAUUUGAUCUUGUUUAUGAUUUAGCUUAAAAAUUGAUAUGUAUAUAUAUUGGUUUUUUUAAUUAGAAGUUUAGAAUUAUGAAUACUAGUUGAAUUAUUUUGUGAUAUAAAGAAUUUUUGAAGUUUGGAAUAUCAUAUUCAAUUUAUUUGUUAUAA